CCAGGCUCCUGAGGAUGUUCAGGAAGAAGGCUCUGGAGGUGGCCCCAGAGCCUGAGGGAAGCAGCUGCCAUCUUCCCCAGGAGCAGAGCGGUCCCUCCAUCCCCGCUGGUGGGGAAGGAGCUCCCGGCUGGGCCAGGAGGUGGAAGUGCCCAGCCUUCUGGCAGAGGAAACCCACUCCUGGAGCAGGUGCCGAGGGACCCCCAGGGACUCAGAGGACAAGGAGAAGGAAUGGGUGGAUGUGGCCACAGAGGAGGCUGCUCUCAAGAACAUCCGAGAACGGCUCCAGGGCCAAGAAAAGGAUGAGGCCCAGCAGCUCAUGUUCCUACACGCCAUCCACCACGCAUGUCUUGCUGCACAGCAGAGAGGGCAGCACACAUUGGAGCCACACUGCUGAAAGGCAGCUGUGGUGGAGAGGAUUGUGGUGAGUGAG